rnacentral:lncRNA from 1 species
CAGAGCUUUCCAAGCUGAAGACUAUGCAAACAAGAGUAUUCAUCGUGCACAUGUUGAGCAGCCUCGGUUCUCUCCUGUUCGCCAAAGCAGCACAACUAGGAAUGAUGAGUAAAGAUUACGCAUGGAUAAUAACAGACAGCAUCACAAACGAAUUAAAUUCAAUGGAUCCUUCUGUCCUAGCAUCCAUGCUAGGAGUAAUAGGAGUAAAGCCUUAUAUUCCACAGACAAAAGAGCUGGACGACUUUGCAAUUCGAUACAAAAACAUGACUCUGCAGAGCAAUCCAAAAGCUCUAAAUCUGGACAUAUAUGGUAUAUGGGCUUAUGACUCGGCUCUUGCACUAGCCAUGGCAGUUGAAAAAGCAGGGUUAUCAAAUCUUACAUAUCAAAAGACAAACACGUCGACAAAUUCUACUGAUCUUGAAGCCUUUGGGGUAUCGUUAAGUGGACCAAAGCUAAUUCAGGCUUUAUCGAGUACCACAUUUAGAGGCCUUGCUGGAAACUUCCAAUUAGUCGAUGGUCAACUCCAAGCACCUCCUUAUGAAAUAGUCAACAUUGUUGCUCAUGGAGUUAGUGGCAUAGGAUAUUGGACAAAAGAGAAUGGAAUUGUAAACAAACUAAAGUUCACUAGUUCAAGCACAAGCGCAUAUUCAACUUCCAAAGACAACCUCGGAUCUAUUACAUGGCCAGGCAACGAAUCAUCUCCACCUAAAGGUUGGGCAGUUCCGACAAAAACCAAGAAACUGAGAGUAGGAGUGCCUGUAAAGGCUGGUUUCACCGAAUUCGUGCGUGUUACGUGGAAUUCGGACAAUACUACUAAAGUGGAAGGAUACUGCAUAGAUGUUUUUGAUGCGGUGAUGGCAGCACUACCAUAUGAUGUGCCGUAUGAAUACAUUCCAUUUGCAACACCUGAUCGCAAGAUGGCUGGAGUUUACAAUGAUUUGGUCUAUGAAGUGUACCUCGGAGUAAGUUCUUCUUUCUUUCCUACAAAAUUAAAAACCAAAUACAUUUUUAUCAACACAGAAGAUGCAGUAUGCUGUGCCUGAACGUUUUUUUUUUUUUUUUUUUUUUUUUUUUUUUUUUUUUUUGUUUUCGCUUAUUAAUGAACAGAACUAUGACGCAGUAGCUGGAGACGUAACAAUUCUCGGAAAUAGGUCUCAGUAUGUCGACUUCACCCUGCCUUACAGAGAGUCUGGUGUUUCGAUGGUUGUACCGAUCCCAGAAGAUAAGAAGGGAAAUACAUGGCUAUUGGUGAAGCCGUUGACUUGGGAACUGUGGUCGACAAUCUUUGUCUCCUUUGUUUUAUUCGGGAUUUUGGUUUGGUUUCUUGAACGCCCAAGAAAUAGAGAUUUCAGAGGGACUGGUUGGGAUCAAUUUUGCAUGAUAUUCUGGUUUUCCUUCUCCACCAUGUUCUUUGCCCACAGUAAGCCACCUUUCAUCAUUUAAAUUACAUUUAGUCAUUUUGCCAAAUGUUACACUAAAGCAAAAUAUAGAGUAUAAUCAUCUAGUCAGAUGUUGAGGAUUAAACCUACUUAACUAACGGAGCAUAGAAAAGGUAAUAAAAUAAGAAGUUAUUUCUGACCUUUCGGCAUUGAAUUUUUUUUUUUGGUAGAGGAGAGGGUGGUAAGCAACUCCGCAAAGGUAGUGGUGAUUGUAUGGCUCUUGGCGGUAUUUAUAUUAACCCAAGGCUAUGCUUCGAGUCUCACAUCCAUGUUAACAGUCCAGAAACUGACAGAUACUGAUGUUAACGAGCUUAUUCGAAACAAGGAAUAUGUGGGCUACUCCAAUACCUCUUUUGUAUACGAAUUUCUGAAAAAACGUUUCGAUAAGUCGCAACUUCGGCCGUUCAAGUCAGCGGAGGAAAUGGAUCAACUUCUCUCCAAAGGGAGUGCAAACGGUGGAAUUGCUGCUGCCUUUCACGAGAUUCCAUACUUAAAUCUGUUUAUAGCAAAAUACCGUUCAAAAUACAUGAUGGUCGGACCCACAUAUAAGGCUGCUGGUUUCGGAUUUGUAUGUGACUCCCUUGACUACAUAUACGUUUCCAUUUUGCGUUGUCGUCUUUUUUUCUUUCUAGACUCUACUUCUCUCUUCUUUUCUGCAGGUCUUCCCAAUAGAUUCUCCUCUAGUACCUCAUGUUUCGAGGAAAAUUCUGAGUGUGACCGAGGGCCAGACGAUGGUGGAGAUUGAGAAGAAGUGGUUGGGAGGUGAGGCCAAACGGCCGGACACUAACACCAAAAGUCUCGGCCUAUCAAGCUUCAGGGUGGUCUUUAUUAUUGUCGGAGCAACCGGACUUGCAGCGAUUAUAAGUUAUAUGAUUAUGUUCGGAUAUGGAACUCAUGUCCACAGUGACGAACCCACAAUCGAGAGACAGAUUUAUGAGUUAUGUGAGUUACUCAAGCGUUGCGAGGAAAGAGACCAACAAAUAAAUAAUCCUGGGAAUCGGAAUGGAAACUAGUGAACCACCAAAAUGCUGUCACAUACAGGUUUUUCGUCGUUGUGAGGAGGUUGUAUCCUAAUUUGUAAAUCUCAUUCUACGUGUUUCAUCGUUUUUCCCCCCACUUUAAAUUGUAUUUGUUGAAAUAAUAAUGUCUUGGGAUUAAAUUCUCUUCUGAGAAUAUCUUCUUGGGACUUCAAUCAGCCACAACUCUUAAGUUAUCUCAAGAUUACAAGCACUCCCUAACAAAGUUCAAAUAUUUCUCUCUUAAUCUUUAAGAUAUAUAUAUUUAACUUGAAAGUUCAACAUAAAAAUAGUUUCUUCUUUUGUAAGUAAGUAAACCUUAAGAAUAUAUUUCAUACUUUAGACGACAUGUAUUCCUGGAUAAGAAACCCGGUGCUUUUAGUUCAAGUCCGGGAUACGAAGCCCGUAUUGUCUAAAAUUUAAAAUUAAAUAUUUAAAUUCAAUUUCACGGUUUAAGAGAAAAAGGCAUAAUUCUGGGCUUUGUAGCCCGUAGCGUAGUUCGGGCUACAAAGUCCGGAAUUAUGAACUUCACUCUGGAUUACGAAAUCCCGAGCCUUCAAAAUCUAUUUAGAUAUACCCUAUUAAAAUUUGCAAGUAGAAUGAGUAGAGAAAAGAAUGACAACUAGAAUGAGUCAAUUACAGUAAUAUCCAAUGACCUAGGACUUAUUUACAUUCUUCUUCUUGGCUAAGUCAAUUACAGUAAUAUCCAAUGGUUUAUUUAUUAUUAUUAUUAUUAUUUUUUAAUCCAAAUACCGUUUUAAAUACACACUCAAACAGAUUUGAACCCCAUCUUCUUGACACCCCACACUGAGAGAAACCACAAUACCAACCUAAGUUAAACCUUGAUCGACAAUAAAAAGUUACCAUAAACGUUAACUUUACAAAUUCGCCAAUCGGGUGCAAGAAUUGUUGGUGUUGAAACUUGAAACUCAUCGGUGUUUUAUAAUUGUAUUCUAGAAUAAACUACAGAAAUUACUUAAGACUUGUGCUAUUUGUAAAAAUAAAAUAAAUAACCAUAUAACUUUUCAGGUCAACUAAGAAAGUAUCAGCCCUUUUUUUUUCAUCUAGUUGCAUGCAUGUUGGAUGGUUCAUUGACUUUUAAAAAGUAAACUCCAUGAUUCUUUCAGCAAACUGUAUUACAUAUAUUUUAGCUGAUGUGACAGUUCAUGUUCAAACAUCCAAACAAUGUUAACCAAAGAAUGAUCCCAUUCUCUCGAAUCUCAAACACGCAAAAUUUUGCCAAAAAGAUAUGGAGAAGAAAAAUACCUGCAACGAUAAUCCCAUUUUGUGUAUCUUCUUUUACUUACUGAUCACUUUAAAUAUUUUCUCCACAAAAACAGCAACGGCCCAAAUCAUCCGUGUAAAAGUCGGAGUUGUGUUAGACAUGGAUGCAUUUGGACGGAUGACAUUCACGUGCAUAUCAAUGGCCCUCUCGGAAUUUUAUGUUACAAAUGACAAAUAUAGAACGAAGCUGAGUCUCACCAGUCGGGACUCUAAAAACGACGUCGUUGGGGCAGCUGCAGCAGGUACAUCAAAGCCUAAAAAAUACACACCCACACACACUCAGGAAAUUAGGAGGAAGAAAUAGAAAGAAAAAAAGAUUAUGCACUUAACCAACUCGUACCGUAAGAUGUUUAUUUGUCAAAUGCUCUAGGAUGAUGAAUUUUUCUUUGCCUUCAAACUUCAUUUCUUUUGCUAGCCUUUUUCAUAUAUUAUUUCCUUCAAGUAGGGCCGAACUGCAAAACAAAUCCGUUGGUCAUAAUUUUCUUAUGCAACCAUUUUCUGUUGCGAUGAUGAGUAGCACAUCAACAGCCAUCGCCUUUGUCUUAUCUUAAAAUUUCGAAUUAAUAUAUAUAUAUAUAUAUAUAUAUAUAUAUAUAUAGAUAUAUAUAUAUAUUAGGAUAAAAAGAUAAUCAGACCUAACCUGAUAAGAGGUUUAUUUAAUUUACAUAAUUCUCUGGUUUUCUUAUUCUUGUUAUGAGGUCUACCAUAUCAAACAAUGGGUCAAUACUCAAUAGCUUUAUCUUGUCUGGAAAAUGUAGACUAUUCAAUAAACUAGUUCGAAAUUCAGAAAUUUUAGAAUAUUAGCAAUUUAGCUCGUUCGAUAGAUAAGUACAUUUAUAAAAACGUUCGAUAGAUAAGUACAUUUAUAACAGUAACAUUGUACUAUAUCGUCAGUAUCUUGCAUAGGUUCAACAGAACAAAUGUUUAUCGGCUAGAUAUCAUAGAGACAAAACAGAGUCUGAAUUAUCUGUUCCUCAAAGGUCAGUUUGCUUAAGCAAGUGCUAGUUAUACAUAUUUUUCGCAAUAAAAGCUAUAAACUAGUCCUAAAUGUAUAGGCGUGAUCUGUUUUAAAGAAAUUUUAAGCCCAAAAAAUUUGAAUUUUCAACAGGUGCGGAGAAACAUUGAAAUAUUAAAUUGACUAAAUAUUCACUCUCAAGAUGGACGUAUCUAGUACUAUUCAGUUUUCUUUCCAACAAAUGAGAUUCUAUACCAGGAAAAUUUGUAUUAAAAUAGUAGUUAAAAUAUUACCUUAUACUGGGAGAAGUGCAAACCGUUCAAGAUGCACAUUACUAAUUGUAACAGUCAACUGAAUGAUUUCUUGCUCAUGAAAUGCAGGUCUGGACCUACUGAAGAAUGUUGAAGUGCAAGCCAUCAUCGGUCCCGUGUACUCAAGUCAGGCUAACUUCCUUAUUUCUCUUGGACUCAAAGCUAAAGUUCCCAUCAUUACUUUCUCAGCCACGAGUCCUUCUCUUUCAUCGCUUCGUAGUCCAUAUUUCAUUCAGGCUACUCUAAAAGACUCUUCACAAGUAGGCGCAAUCGUUGCAAUCAUUCAAGCCUUUGGAUGGAGAGAAGUUGUAACCAUUUACGAGAAUACUGAAUUUGGAGAAGGGAUUAUACCAUUUUUAACCGAUGCCUUAGAAAAGGUAAAAGUGCGUGUACCGUACAGGAGUGUCAUUCAAACUUCAGCAACAGAUGAUCAGAUCCUCGCAGAGCUUUACAAGUUGAUGGCUAUGCAAACCAGAGUUUUCAUCGUCCACAUGUUGAACCCUCUUGCUUCUCGCCUGUUCACCAAAGUGGAACAACUAGGGAUGAUGAGUAAAGAUUAUGCAUGGAUAAUAACAGAUAGCAUCACAAACGAUUUAAAUUCAAUGAACCCUUCUGUCAUAGCAUCCAUGCUAGGAGUAAUAGGAGUAAAACCUUAUGUUCCAAAUACAAAGGAACUGGAUGACUUUAUAACUCGAUACAAGAAAAGGGUUCUGCAAAGCAAUCGAAAAGCCCUUGGCGUGGACAUUUACGGGCUAUGGGCUUACGACUCGGCCAUAGCACUAGCCAUGGCAGCAGAAACUGCAGGACUAAAAAAUCUUACAUAUCAAGAAACGAACACAUCAACAAAUUCUACGGAUCUUGAAGCCAUUGGAGUAUCAAUAAGUGGACCAGAGCUCAUUCAGGCUUUAUCAAAUAUCACAUUUAGGGGCCUUGCUGGAGAUUUUCGAUUGGUCGAUGGCCAACUCCAAGCGCCUCCAUAUGAGAUAGUCAAUAUGGUUGGUCCUGGAGCUAGAGGCAUAGGAUAUUGGACAAAAGAGAACGGAAUCAUCAACAAACUGAACUUCACUAGUUCAAGCACAAAUGAAUAUUCCACUUCCAAGUCCAACCUUGGGCCUACUAUAUGGCCAGGCGACGAAUCAUUUCCACCUAAAGGUUGGGUGGUUCCUACAAGAGGGAAGAAAUUGAAGGUAGGAGUACCCGUAAAGGAUGGUUUCACAGAUUUCGUUCGUGUAACUUGGAAUUCCGACAAUUCUACAACAGUGGAAGGAUACUGCAUAGAUGUUUUUGAUGCUGUGAUGGCAGCACUGCCAUAUGGUGUGCCGUAUGAAUACAUUCCAUUUGCAACAACUGAUCACAAGAUGGCUGGUGAUUACAAUGCGCUGACCCAGCAAGUGUACCUUGGAGUAAGUAUCUUCUUUAUUACAAUGAAUUUAAAAAUCAAACACAUUUUUUUAUCAACAUAGAGCAAGAUGGUACAGCUGACCUUUUCUCUAAUCAAUCAACAGAAUUAUGACGCUGUGGCUGGGGAUGUAACAAUUCUAGCAAAUAGGUCACAGUACGUCGACUUCACUUUGCCGUAUACUGAGUCUGGUGUUUCAAUGGUCGUACCAAUCCAACACGAUAAGAGCAAAAAUACAUGGCUUGUUUUUAAGCCACUGACUAGGGAGCUGUGGUUCACAACCUUUUUCUCUUGUGUUGCAAUUGGGUGUCUGGUUUGGUUUCUUGAACGUGAUGUAAAUACAGAAUUCAGCGGGUCUCCUUUGCAUGAAUUUGGCAUGAUAUUCUGGUUCGCCUUCUCCACCAUGGUCUUUGCUCACAGUAAGCCACCUUUCAUCUUUUAACUACAGUCAUUUUUGCCAAAUGUUACACUAGAGCAAAUCUAAGGCCGUGUUUUGGCAAUUGAUAAUAUUGUAAACAUCUAAACUGAUAUUGAAUGUUAAUAAAAACAAGAAGUUGUUUCUGACCAUUUGGCAUUGAAUUUUUUGGUAGGGGAGAGGGUGAUAAGCAACUGCGCCAGGUUUCUGCUGAUCAUAUGGCUCUUGGCAGUAUUUGUAUUAACCCAAAGCUACUCCGCCAGUCUUACAUCCAUAUUAACAAUCCAGAAGGUGGAGCCAGCAGUUACUGAUAUUAAUGAGCUCAUAAGAAACAAGGAAUAUGUAGGCUACUCGAACACAUCAUUUGUUUUUGGAUUUCUCAAGAAAAUGGAAUUUGAUGCAUCUCGACUUCGGUCAUUCAAGUCAGCGGAGGAAAUGGAUGAACUUCUCUCCAAAGGGAGUGCAAAUGGUGGAAUAGCAGCUGCCUUUCAUGAGAUCCCGUACAUAAAGCUGUUUCUAGGCAAAUACUGUUCAAAAUACAUGAUGGCCGGGCCCACGUACAAGGCUGAAGGUUUUGGAUUCGUAUGUGACCCUCCUCAUCACCUACUUUCAAGUGUAUCUAUCACAUAUAUUUUUUUUUCAUUCUAUGUUGUCGUUUUCUGUACUUUUAAUAAAAUAUCUCUCUUCUUUGCUGCAGGUCUUCCCAAUAGAUUCUCCUCUAGUACCUGAUGUUUCACGAGAAAUUUUGAAUGUGGCGGAGGGCCAGAAGAUGGUCGAGAUUGAGACGACGUGGUUGGGAGAUAAGACCAAAUGUCCAGACCUUAACAGCUUACUUCCACCUAAGAGUCUUGGCCUUUCAAGCUUCAGGGGACUCUUUAUUAUGGUAGGAAUAGCUGGAGUUUUAGCACUUAUAUUUAGAUUCUUCAGUAAAAAACCGCAAUUCCCUGGUGAUGAACUCACAGCGCAGAGCCAGAGAGAUGAAUUACAUCGGUUACUGAACAGGAGGUACGAGGUAGGAGGUGGUCAACAAGGCAAUGUACCUGAGAAUCCAAAUGAACUGCCCGCAAUUCGGGCACAUUUACAUGAACAUGAGUUACAUGAGUUACCGAUGAGGUUCAAUAAUAGAGAUGAACAAGGCAAUUAGUCUAAGAAUCUGAAUUAAAGCGAGUGAAUCACCUAAUUUGUAAUUUUUUGCUUCCACUAUGAUUGUGAUAUAUUGGUACUCUUUGUUGGAUCCUCCGUGACACUUUGUAAGCUGUAACCGAACUUUUAGUAUGAAGAUGUGAUACUAAGAAGGGUGUUCCAAAUCGUGAGGUAAAAACUCAAAUCUUGCUAUCUUAGAAAAUUCUACUCCCCCUUUCCACAAUCCUACUACAGUUCAUCCUCGUCAACAUAUUUGGAUUGUUCUACAUUUUGCUUUUGCUGUAGCAAGAUAGUCAUCGCCACUUUAAAUGUGUAUAACUUCACAAGUGCAAUAGCAGAUGUAUGCUACCUUUCAAUUUCUGAUAUGGGCUACAAAUCACUAGCUUUGAUUAAAAUAUCAUUACAAAGAAGGAAAAAAAAAUGAACUCUGUUAAAGGGACAUCAAGGAAACAUAAAAAAAGCUAGAGGUGUUAUUGUAAAUCAUAAAUCAGUUGCUACAUGUUUCAUUUUCUUUUCCUUGAUUUCUCUUCUUAGGACUUGCACCAGCAAGUUCUCUUCUGUUUCAUUUCAUGUUCGAACCUUUGUACUCUACUGUAAUUAUGACAUAUAAAUUGGAAUUCUGUGUUGGUUAUCUAUACACAUCUAAAAGUCGUCCCGGUUUAAAUUUUAGUUUAGGUCCUUCAGUAGUCAAACUUUUAGUAUGAGGGUAUACCUAAAGAGUGUGUCCAAAUGACCUAAAAUCAUGUCGUAGAACUCACAUUUGGCUGUCUUAUAAACUUCUAUUCACCGCUUCCACAGUCCCACUAGAAUUCCUCCUCGUUAAAGUGUUUACUAAGGGAUGCCAUUCACUAGAGAUCAUACAUAUUCUUUUAGGCAUUUCAACAAACAUGAAAUAGGCAUCAACACCAACAUUAACAAAAAAAAAAAACACAGAAUACCCCCUCAAACAAUAGUUUCUACAAUUGACCCCAAAAAAUAAACUGACACAUAAAUAGAACACAUUUUGUUAUAAGGAUUCCCAAUCAGGAUUAGGUCAGAUAUACUUGGUGUUGAACGAAUCCAAAGUGGUUGAUAUAAAUAGAAGAAAAAAAAACAUAUACAGCAAGUGGUAAUAUUAAAGCAAAAUGAGAGAGCGUUUACCUGAGUAAGAUUAACAGUCUCGAUCAUCCCCAUGGCCAGAGGCGUAGACGUGUCUGGCCGAGGUCUCUUUCACACUCUUCUUCUUCUUCUUCGCCCAGUCAAGUCAAUAUAAGAAAAUGAUCGAUAAAACCAAAUGUCCAGAUUCUAGUACUUUGUUCUCGUCCAACAGUAUCGGUUUAGAGAGCUUUUGGGGGCUGUUCUUGAUAGUGGGAAUUGCUGCAGCUUCAGCAUUGAUAAUCUACGCGAUCAAAUUCCUACGCGAAAAAUAGAGAUAGAGAGAGUGGCUGUGGAGGUGAUUGCGUGAAGUGAGCAGCAGAAUCAUCUAACGAACAUGAUUUUCGAUUUAGUCCGUCGACUUUUUCAGUGGCCUCUCCGUGUACUAAUGGCCCGACUUCUCGAGCCCAAAUGCGCAGAAUGUAGAUUUUCGAGCUAUGCAGCAAGAAAUCGAACUUGUCAAUCCGAAUCAAAACGAGCAAUUGUCAUCAACAACGGUGGACUUGGCGCAUGAAGUUCACUAAGUGUGGUAGCUUUAUCUUUCAUCUCAAUCAGAUAGGGGUAAGAUGACAUCUUGUAAUUUCAUUUCCAUUGUAGAAGAGUACUCUCAUCUAACAUUUCAAGAAGAAUAAAAGAAAAAAAGAUCUCGAUUAGUGUCUUGUUCCAAGAUAGUUCCUUAGGAGCUUUAAUGCCUGAAAUUUUGAUUUGCGAUAACACAUCAUUAGCAUUAAAACUAGCAUUGAUACAAUAUCGAAAAAAAUGUAAUUGUGUAGAAAUUCGGAGAAGGGCUGUUUAGGAAAAAUCACAAAGCUACAGAUUUCACCUUAAGUACGAGCUAAUAGAGGAAAAGAGAUGCAUGACUUGAGUAUGACAAUGGAAGAAUGCAGGCAAUUUCUAAGAGUUAAUAUUCUUGUAGGCAUUUCAACAAACAUGUACUAGGCAUCCACACAAUCCAUCAAUGCAAUCAUUAAAAAGAAUAUAAAUCAGUAAUUAUUAAUUACCAACAUCUCUGUCACGAGUGACGACAACUUGGAUUCUUCUUCUCAUAAAGUACUCCGAGGUUGUCAAUAUUAUCCGCUCUAGUUAGAUUUAAAUAUUUGCACUUGUAAUAAAUACAUUUUCAAUAUUCUGAGUAAGAGCACUUUGUUCACGUCUUCCCCUGCCUUGCCAAAUCAAUUACAUUUAUAACCAAUAAAUCUUUCAAAGUCAAAGUCAACCAUAGAAGUUGCUAAACAUGAUUAAUCACCCUAAUUGCCUCAUGUAAAUUUCAAAUUUCGAAGAGUUCGAGUUUUUUUUGUAAUAAGUCAAACCUCAAGAAUGAAUGAAUAAUUGUUUAUAAGGGUAAAUUACGGUCAUUCCCAUAGGGUAAUGCUAAAUUACGAAAAAAUCCCUCAUGUUUGGAUAUUUAUAAUCAAUUAAUCAUCCCCUCAAGUCCAUCCUUGCGGUGUCAAAUUUGGAAUCUUCCAUAAUCUAGAAGAUUACGUUGAAUUUGACACCGUAAGGGUGUACGCGUAGAAGAUUCAUAGUCGAUGGAUGGUUGUAAUUAUCCAAACAUAAGUGAGUUUGUCGUAAUUUAAUCUUAACUCGGGGGUGGCCGUAACAUAAAAAAAAAAUCAUUCUAAUCAAACCUUUUAACAAGCAUUUAUGAAAAUUUACAACAUCAACCAAUUUUGGAUAGCUCAUUGACUUUACAAAAGUAAACUCCCAUGAUUCUCCAAAGAAACUUCAAAAUACAAUAUAUUAGGACAGCUCAUUUUGGGUCCUACACCAUGUACUUAGUUCUGGAUGUAACAGUUCAAAUUCAAACAUCCAAAAACACAAUGCCCUGUGUAUGCAUUUUUUUUUGGUAAUCAAAUUAAAUCAUCAUCUAGAAAGAAAAAAAAAAGAAAUGGAGAAGAUCAAAACCUGCAGAUAUGUCAUUUUGCAUCUCUUCUGUUAUUUAUGUGCCGUGAUUUUCUCAACAAAAAUGGCAGCGGCACAGAACAUCUCUGUAAGAGUAGGAGUGGUGCUAGACAUGGAUGAGUAUGGAAAGAUGGCAUUCAACUGCAUAUCAAUGGCGCUAUCGGAUUUCUACACUACACAUGAUUCUUACAACACGAGGCUGUUUCUCUACAACCGGGACUCCAACGGAGACGUCAUCGGGGCAGCUGCUGCAGGUACUCCGCCUAAAACACACACAACACACAUUCAAGAAACAAGGAAGAAACGAAAAAAAUAUAAAAAAAUUAUAAACGUAAUCAACUCAUAUAGUAAGAUUUUUUAAUUACUAUGUCAGAUGCUGUAGGAUGAAUAUUCAAUUGGGCCCAACUGCCAACUUUUCUGUUGGUUAUAACUUUCAGGCUUCAGCAGCAUUACUUGUUCUUCUAACUAUACUUCAAGCAUAAUUGGAAACUUACCCAAACAUAGUAAUCCCAAUGUAUAACAUAUUUACCCUCACCAAAAUAUUUCUUUACGGAAAUCGCAUCACAACAUUACCGAUAUUGAAGGAUAAUAGGGUAAAAGGACUAUUUUCUUCACCACGUGACAUCUUUUGAUAACGUUCAUUACUACUGACAAAUCCAGAUCAAGUGAAUUUUUUUUCCUAGAUGAGAAAUACCCUAAACGGUCAUCGCUUUUUACAUCUUAAUUUCAAAAUAAAAAGCAUACAACUAUGUUAUGUUGCCCAUGAAAUGCAGGUUUGGACCUGCUGAAGAAUAUUGAAGUGCAAGCCAUAAUAGGUCCCAUGUACUCGGUACAGGCUAAUUUCCUUAUUUCUCUUGGACAGAAAGCUCACGUUCCUAUUAUUACCUUCUCAGCCACAAGUCCUUCUCUUUCAUCACUAAGGAGUCCUUAUUUCGUUCGGGCUACUCUAAACGACUCUACGCAAGUAAACCCCAUAGUUGCAAUUAUUCAAGCCUUUAAAUGGAAAGAAGUCGUGCCAAUCUAUGAGGAUAACGAAUUCGGGGAAGGGAUUGUACCGUUUUUAAGCGAUGCCUUAGAACAGGUAAAUGUGCGCGUACCUUACAGGAGUGUCAUUCCGUCAUUAGCAACAGACGAACAAAUUGUCGAUGAGCUUAACAAGCUGAAGACUAUGCAAACAAGAGUAUUCAUCGUGCACAUGUUACGCAGUCUCGGUUCUCGCCUGUUCGCCAAAGCAGCACAACUAGGAAUGAUGAGUAAAGAUUACGCAUGGAUAAUAACAGACAGCAUCACAAACGAAUUAACUGCAAUGGAUCCUUCUCUCGUAGCAUCGAUGCUAGGAGUAAUAGGAGUAAAACCUUAUAUUCCACAGACAAAAGAGCUGGACGACUUUGCAAUUCGAUACAAAAACAAGAUUCAGCAGAGCAAUCCAAAAGCUCUAAAUCUGGACAUAUAUGGUAUAUGGGCUUAUGACUCGGCCCUUGCACUAGCCAUGGCAGUUGAAAAAGCAGAGUUAGCAAAUCUUACAUAUCAGAAGACGAACACGUCGACAAAUUCUACAGAUCUUGAAGCCUUUGGGGUAUCGUUAAGUGGACCAAAGCUCAUUCAGGCUUUAUUGAGUAUCACGUUUAGAGGCCUUGCUGGAAACUUCCAAUUAGUCGAUGGCCAACUCCAAGCACCGCCUUACGAAAUAGUCAACAUUGUUGGUCCUGGAGCUAGUGGUAUAGGAUAUUGGACAAAAGAGAAUGGAAUUGUCAACAAACUAAACUUCAGUAGUUCAAGCGCAAGCGCAUAUUCAACUUCCAAAGACAACCUCGGAUCAAUUACAUGGCCAGGCAACGAAUCAUCGCCACCUAAAGGUUGGGUGGUUCCAACAAAAACCAAGAAAAUGAGAGUAGGCGUGCCUGUAAAGGAUGGUUUCACUGAAUUCGUCCGUGUUACAUGGAAUUCCGACAAUUCUACGACAGUGGAAGGAUUCUGCAUAGAUAUUUUUGAUGCGGUGAUGAAAGCACUACCAUAUGAUGUGCCGUAUGAAUACAUUCCAUUUGCAACUCCUGAUCACAAGAUGGCUGGAGAUUAUAAUGAAAUGGCCUAUCAAGUGUACCUUGGAGUAAGUAUUUUCCCUUUUCUUAUUGAAUUUAAAAAUCAAAUACAUUUUCUAUCAGCACAAAGCAAGAUGCACUAUACUAUGCCUGAAUUCUUCUAUUCUCUGCUUAUUGAUGAAUAGAACUAUGACGCUGUGGCUGGUGACGUAACAAUUCUAGGAAAUAGGUCUCAGUACGUAGACUUCACUCUGCCUUUUAUAGAGUCUGGUGUUUCGAUGGUUGUACCGAUCCCAGAGGAUAAGAAGGGAAAUACAUGGAUAUUAGUGAAGCCAUUGACUUGGGAGUUGUGGUCAACAAUAUUCUUCUUUUUUGUUAUAAUUGGGAUUUUGGUUUGGCUUCUUGAACGCCCAGAAAAUAGAGAUUUCAGAGGGUCUCGUUGGGACCAAUUUUGCAUGAUAUUCUGGUUCAGCUUCUCCACCAUGUUCUUUGCUCACAGUAAGCUACCUUUCAUCUUUUAAACUACAGUAAGUCCUUUUUUACCAAAUAUUAAAACCUACUUAAUUAACUCUGCCAAUUUUGGCAUUGACUUUUUUUUUUUUUGGUAGAGGAGAAGGUGAAAACCAACUCCGCCAAGAUAGUGGUGAUUGCAUGGCUAUUGGCGGUAUUUAUAUUAACCCAAGGCUAUGCUUCCAGUCUUACAUCCAUGUUAACAGCCCAGCAGCUGAUAGUGAAUGAUGUUAAUGAGCUUAUAAGAAACAAGGACUAUGUAGGCUACUCGAAUACAUCGUUUGUAUAUGGAUUUCUGAAAAACCUUUUUAACGAGUCGCAACUUCGGCCUUUCAACUCAGCAGAGGAAAUGGAUGAACUUCUCUCCAAAGGGAGUGCAAAUGGUGGAAUAGCAGCUGCCUUUCAUGAGAUCCCAUAUAUAAAGAUGUUUCUAGGCAAAUACUGUUCGAAAUACAUGAUGGUCGGACCCACUUAUAAGGCUGCUGGUUUCGGAUUUGUAUGUGACCCUCUUCACUAUAUAUAUGUUUUCAUUUUUUAUUUUUAUUUUUGCUUUCUAGACUCUCUUUCUCUCUUAUUUGCAGGUUUUUCCAAUAGAUUCUCCUCUAGUACCUGAUGUUUCGAGAGAAAUUUUGAAUGUGACUGAGGUUCAAAAAAUGGUGGAUAUUGAAAAGAAGUGGUUGGGAGAUGAGUCCAAAUGUCCAGACACUGACACCAAAAGUAUUGGCCUAUCAAGCUUCAGGGUAGUCUUUAUUAUUGUAGGAACAGUUGGAAUAGCAGUGGUCAUAAAUUAUAUGAUUAGACAAGGACGUGAAAAUAAGAAUGUCCAUAAAGAUGAUCCCCCAAUUGUCCAUAAUGAUCCCCCAAUUGUCCAUAAUGAUCCCCCAAUUGUCCAUAAUGAUCCCCCAAUUAUCCAUAAUGAUCCCCCAAUUAUCCAUAAUGAUCCCCCAAUUGUCCAUAAUGAUCCCCAAUUAUCCAUAAUGAUCCCCCAAUUAUCCAUAAUGAUCCCCCAAUUAUCCAUAAUGAUCCCAAAAUUGUCGAUAAUGAUCCCACAAUUGAGAGACAGAUAUAUGAGUUAUGGCAGUCACUAAAGACUUUCAAGGAAAGACUAACACCUAAACUCUAGCACAUGUGGCUGUCAGGUUUCUGUUUACCUCAAAAUAAAGAUUGGUGUGCGACUCUUAAUUGAGGAGGUGGUAUCCUAAUUUCUAAAUCUCAUUCUACGUGUUUCGUAAUUUUUUUCCCCUUAAAUUCUCUUUCUUGAAAUAACGUGAUUAACUUCUCUUCUGAGAAUAUCUUCUUGGGACUUUGAUCGGCAAGUUCUCUUAUGUUUUGUUUCAUGUUCUAACCUUUUGCUUUUACUGUGAUUAUGAUACAUAAAUUUGAACUUUGUUUUGGUUAUGUAUAUCCUCAUAAAACUUUAUCCAAAAGUUUGCAUUUUUUAUCGAUUCCUCAUUGACUCUUGUAAGUUGUAAGGGUGUGAGAGUGAGACUAAGAAAUGUGUUCGAAAUCAUGACAUAGAAACUCAAAUUUUUGCUGUCUUGGAAAGUUCUACUCACCCCUUACAUAUUCCCACUAUAAUUCCCUCUCGUCAAACAUAUUUGGAUUCUUCUACAUUAUAGCUUUUACGAUGGAAAAACUUAAGCUAACAGUGAAAAUGAGAUGCACAAGGAAUUAAAUGUUUACUGAGGAAUGACAAUCAUUACGAGCACGACAAUGGAAGUAAGGAGAUAAUUUCUAGGAGUUCAUAUUUGGGUACCGAGUAAGAAUUUGAGUAUCCUUGUCUAACAUGUUGAGCUUCGUGCCGCACGUGCAGACGUAUCUGAUCGAGGUCUCCUUUCUCCAAUUCUUCUUCUUCUUUUUGCCAAACUCAACUACAUUUGUACACAAUGAAUCACUCAAAGUCAGUUUUACCAAUAAAAAAGGACAAAAGGAAAAAAAAUCAAAUUUACAUUAUUUACUCAGCUCUGUGAUUACAUGGAAGUUGGAAAUAAAACAGAAUCCUUCUGUGAAUCUUGAGAAUAUAUUUUGUAAUUUACGCAGAGUGUUUUACGGGCUACGAAACAUUCCAAUUUUUCAAUAACAUGCAAUAUUUAAAUUAUGUUCUAAAAUUGCGAACACUCUCUUGAGUAAUUACAAUACAAAAUACCCUAAAUUUAAUUUUAAUUUACAGGUAAUUGGAAAGGUGUAAUCUGCAAGUGGAAUGGAUUGGGAAAUGAGUAGAGAAAAGAAUGACAAGUAGACUAUGAGUGUGCUUGUCUUCACGUCUUGAGCCUUAUGGAAAGUUGACCUUUCUGGUCGAAGACUUAUUUAUAUUCUUCUUCUUGACCAAGUCAACACACACGUACACACCCAAUCAAAUUUGAACCCCGUCCUCUCCCACACCCCACAGUGAGAGAAAAAGCCACAAUACCAACCUAAGGCCUUAAUUGACGAUAAAAGGUUACCUUUAACAAAUAGUCAAUAGGAUACAAGGACUGUUGGUGACGAAACCAAUAGGUAUUUUAUAUUUUGGAAUAAAUUACAGAAACUAUUUAAGACUUGUGCUAUUUGUAAAAGUAAAAUAAAGGGAAAGAUCAUAUAACUUUUCGGAUCAGCUUAAAAAUUACCAACCAUUUUUUUCAUCAAGUUGCAUGCAUGUUGGUGAUACGUCAUUGACUUCACAAAAGUAAACUCUAUGAUUCUUUCAGCACACACCAUGCUGGAUUAUAUAUAUAUUCUGUAUUAUACACAUAGCACAGACCAUGUUUUGGGCCCUACCUAUAUUUUAACUGUGGAUGUGACAGUUGAAGACAAACCCUUCAAACAAUGGUAACCAAACAAUGAUCAUUCUCUCAAGUCUCAAACAUGCAAAAUUUAGGAAAAAAGGAUAUGGAGAAGAGAAGAAUUACCUGCAGCAAACCAAUUCUGCAUCUCUUCUUUUAUUUAUUGAUCACUUUGAAGAUUUUUCCUACAAAAAUGGCGACGGCUCAGAACAUCACUGUAAGAGUAGGGGUUGUGUUAAACAUGGAUGGUUUUGGACAGAUGUCAUUCAACUGCUUAUCAAUGGCGCUUACGGAUUUCUACUCUACGCACAAACAAUAUAGAACGAAGCUGGUUCUUACCGACCGGGACUCCAAAGACGAUGCCGUUGGAGCAGCUGCAGCAGGUACUCUGCCUAUAAAAAAACAUAUAACACACACUCAGGAAAUAAGGAAGAAGAAAUAGAGGAAACAAAAAGUUAUAAUUUGAUUUAGCCUAUUAACUAUUCAAUGAUUUUCUUAUUCUUGUUCUGAGGUCUCCCAUGUGAAACAAUGGGUCAAUCGCUUUGUCUUGUCUGAAAAUGGAUGUUAUUAAUUAAACUAGUUGGCAAUCAAGAAAUUCUAUAAAUUUCAAAUUACAAUUCUGUAGGAACAAUCCAUAAUGAUUUUUUUGGGUAUGGCAUUUUAGUCUGUCCGGGAAACAAGUUUAUGUAUAAGAAAGAGUAAACGCUCUACUACUAUAUUGUUAGUUUCUUGCUCAAGUUCAACAGAACAAGAUGUUACUAGAUAUCACAGGGCCAAAAAACACUCUUAUUUAUCUGUUCCUCACAGGCUAGUUUGCUUAAGCAUUAUACAUAUUUUUCCCAAUAAAAGCUAUAAACUUUUCCUAGUUGUAUAAGUGAGAUUUUAAAAAAAAUUUAAGCCCACAAAACUUCAAUUUUCAAGAAAGGAGGAAGAACAUUGAAAUAUUAAAAUUUUCUAAAUAUUCACUCAAGAUGUGGCUGUAUCUACUACUAUUCAGUUCUUUACAUGGAAAAAUUGUGUUGAAGUACUAGCUGAAAUAUUACCAUAUACUGGGAAAGUGCAAACAGAUUCAAGAUGCACCUUCCAGAAUGUAGGCAAUCGACUGAUGAACGUUUUGUUGCACAUGAAAUGCAGGUCUGGAC